UACGUAGGGGGCGAGCGUUGUCCGGAUUCAUUGGGCGUAAAGAGCUCGUAGGCGGCUUGGCAAGUCGGAUGUGAAAACUCCAGGCUCAACCUGGAGCCGCCAUUCGAUACUGCUAUGGCUAGAGUCCGGUAGGGGAGUGUGGAAUUCCCGGUGUAGCGGUGAAAUGCGCAGAUAUCGGGAGGAACACCGAUGGCGAAGGCAGCACUCUGGGCCGGCACUGACGCUGAGGAGCGAAAGCGUGGGGAGCGAACGAGGA
rnacentral:rRNA from 1 species